GGCGUGCCUAACACAUGCAAGUCGAACCAGGUAUUUUGAUUGAAGUUUUCGGAUGGAUUUUAAGAUACCGAGUGGCGGACGGGUGAGUAACGCGUGGGUAACCUGCCUCAUACAGGGGGAUAACGGUUAGAAAUGACUGCUAAUACCGCAUAAGCGCACAGUACCGCAUGGUACGGUGUGAAAAACUCCGGUGGUAUGAGAUGGACCCGCGUCUGAUUAGCUAGUUGGUGAGGUAACGGCCCACCAAGGCGACGAUCAGUAGCCGACCUGAGAGGGUGACCGGCCACAUUGGGACUGAGACACGGCCCAGACUCCUACGGGAGGCAGCAGUGGGGGAUAUUGCACAAUGGGGGAAACCCUGAUGCAGCGACGCCGCGUGGAGGAAGAAGGUUUUCGGAUUGUAAACUCCUGUCGUUAGGGACGAUAAUGACGGUACCUAACAAGAAAGCACCGGCUAACUACGUGCCAGCAGCCGCGGUAAAACGUAGGGUGCAAGCGUUGUCCGGAAUUACUGGGUGUAAAGGGAGCGCAGGCGGACCGGCAAGUUGGAAGUGAAAACUACGGGCUCAACCCAUAAAUUGCUUUCAAAACUGCUGGCCUUGAGUAGUGCAGAGGUAGGUGGAAUUCCCGGUGUAGCGGUGGAAAUGCGUAGAUAUCGGGAGGAACACCCAGUGGCGAAGGCGACCUACUGGGCACCAACUGACGCUGAGGCUCGAAAGCAUGGGUAGCAAACAGGAUUAGAUACCCUGGUAGUCCAUGCCGUAAACGAUGAUUACUAGGUGUUGGAGGAUUGACCCCUUCAGUGCCGCAGUUAACACAAUAAGUAAUCCACCUGGGGAGUACGACCGCAAGGUUGAAACUCAAAGGAAUUGACGGGGGCCCGCACAAGCAGUGGAGUAUGUGGUUUAAUUCGAAGCAACGCGAAGAACCUUACCAGGUCUUGACAUCCGAUGCAUAGUGCAGAGAUGCAUGAAGUCCUUCGGGACAUCGAGACAGGUGGUGCAUGGUUGUCGUCAGCUCGUGUCGUGAGAUGUUGGAUUAAGUCCCGCAACGAGCGCAACCCUUAUUGCCAGUUACUACGCAAGAGGACUCUGGCGAGACUGCCGUUGACAAAACGGAGGAAGGUGGGGAUGACGUCAAAUCAUCAUGCCCUUUAUGACCUGGGCUACACACGUACUACAAUGGCGUUUAACAAAGAGAAGCAAGACCGCGAGGUGGAGCAAAACUCAAAAACAACGUCUCAGUUCAGAUUGCAGGCUGCAACUCGCCUGCAUGAAGUCGGAAUUGCUAGUAAUCGCGGAGCAGCAUGCCGCGGUGAAUACGUUCCCGGG
rnacentral:rRNA from 1 species